UCAAAGAUACUCGAAUAGUGACUGGAUAGGAAACUGCGAAGCGGACAAUAGAACAUGUUACGCAUCACUGCUUAUUCAAACUUGUAGGGAAUGAUCAUUUCCGGUUUGUUUGGUUUUGACUGAUAAUGACGAGCUUCGCAGCUAUUCGGCACGGUAGUUAACUGUUGUAGACUUACCAAGAUAAGCUAAUUUGUCCCUUGUUACGUUUUCAACGAAAAAUGAAAGAAAAAAGGAGUGGAGAACGCAGCUUUUGUGUAAAGUAAAAAGAUGCGAUAGGAGUUUCAACGCAGAGAGGGCCUACAUCUGCGCAAGGCAUUUUGAUCAACAUUGCUUUAGGAUCGGAAAGACUGGAAGAAAAGACCUCCUUGUUGGAAGUUUGCCUACACAGUUCUUACAUAAAAGAAGUCAUGAAAAUAACCAAGGGAACAAAGGCGUGAGCUUGAAAGACUUUUUCAAGAGGUGCCCUUACCAGUGCUUUACAAAUGAAGAGGUUUCACAGAUUUCAAAAAGAGCAUUGGCAAAAUAAAACAGCCCUGGGUCAUUUUACAUAGCUCUGAUGAGACUGUACCCUUAGGUCUUGCUGACAAAACUGGUAAUAUUCGGAACAAAGUUUCUGUGGACCCCUUUUCGAAUGAUACAAAUUUUGUUCUCUCUGAGAAAUCCUCUGAAGAAAAGAAAGAGAUGUAGCUUUCCUCUUAUUUGGAAAGCGAGGAAAGUGUUUCAAUGCUUCAGUAAUAGAGGGGGCUAGUAAUAAAAACUAGAAUACCAGCAAUUUUGGCAUAACGAGUUUUGUAUAUUGUUAAAAAGACCAGAAAAUGAAUAUUUCUCUAUUAGAAUUAUUUUUGUAAUAUUAGCUAUAUUUCAAGCUGUUUAGUUCAUAUUUCAUCCAUAUUCAAUUGUUGAAGUAUUUUAAGAAAUAUUAACUUUUGCCUGAUAGCUGAGCAUUUCAAGUGGG